rnacentral:rRNA from 1 species
AUUGAACGCUGGCGGCAUGCCUUACACAUGCAAGUCGAACGGCAGCACGGGGGCAACCCUGGUGGCGAGUGGCGAACGGGUGAGUAAUACAUCGGAAUGUACCCAGUAGUGGGGGAUAACUAGUCGAAAGAUUAGCUAAUACCGCAUACGCACUAUGGUGGAAAGCGGGGGAUCGCAAGACCUCGCGCUAUUGGAGCAGCCGAUGUCCGAUUAGGUAGUUGGUGGGGUAAAAGCCUACCAAGCCCGCGAUCGGUAACUGGUCUGAGAGGACGACCAGUCACACUGGGACUGAGACACGGCCCAGACUCCUACGGGAGGCAGCAGUGGGGAAUUUUGGACAAUGGGGGAAACCCUGAUCCAGCAAUGCCGCGUGUGUGACGAAGG